rnacentral:rRNA from 1 species
UACAGAGGGUGCGAGCGUUAAUCGGAAUUACUGGGCGUAAAGCGUGCGUAGACGGUCAUGUAAGUCGGAUGUGAAAUCCCCGGGCUCAACCUGGGAAUGGCAUUUGGGACUGCAAGGCUGGAGUGCGGCAGAGGAGACUGGAAUUCCUGGUGUAGCAGUGAAAUGCGUAGAUAUCAGGAGGAACACCGAUGGCGAAGGCAGGUCUCUGGGCUGACACUGACGCUCAUGCACGAAAGCGUGGGGAGCGAAACAAGGAUUGAU